rnacentral:lncRNA from 1 species
GUUCUCUUGCAUCGCUUGCUCCAGGGGAAGCCAUCUGCCAUGCUGGAGGACACCCAAGCAGCAAUGUGCAGAGGCCCACGUGGAGAGAAACUGAGCCUUCCUAGUCACAGCCACCAACUUGCCACCCAGAGGUAAGCAAGAGCCUUUCCUUCUGACACCCCUACUCCUCAGAGGCCUGAGGGAGCUGCAGCAACCUCAGGGGCGCUAGAUCCUGCAGGCCCAGGGCUCUGAGCUCGAGUCACAGUUGUCAUCAGGAAGAAGAACCAGCACAUUGUUUCCAGAAGUAUUGUCUGCACCAAUAAUCUGAGGGUUAGAAGAAAUACAGCUGCUUGGCCUUUAUGGAAGAAGUGUCUCUGAAGUGACCCCUUGUGUCUUCCUCAUUGUCAUGCAGCACCUGUGACAUAACACAGGAUGAUACCAUUCCCACCCUCGGUUGCAGCUCAGUAGCAUCCAUCUGUGCUGUCAAGUAAAGUAAAAUUAAUCCACUCCCAAAGGAAUUACAAAGAAAUCAUAGCAAAC